rnacentral:rRNA from 1 species
AGUGAACGCUGGCGGUAGGCCUAACACAUGCAAGUCGAACGGCAGCACAGUAAGAGCUUGCUCUUACGGGUGGCGAGUGGCGGACGGGUGAGGAAUACAUCGGAAUCUACUUUUUCGUGGGGGAUAACGUAGGGAAACUUACGCUAAUCCCGCAUACGACCUACGGUUGAAAGCAGGGGAUCUUCGGACCUUGCGCGAUUGAAUGCGCCGAUGUCGGAUUAGCUAGUUGGCGGGGUAAAGGCCCACCAAGGCGACGAUCCGUAGCUGGUCUGAGAGGAUGAUCAGCCACACUGGAACUGAGACACGGUCCAGACUCCUACGGGAGGCAGCAGUGGGGAAUAUUGGACAAUGGGCGCAAGCCUGAUCCAGCCAUACCGCGUGGGUGAAGAAGGCCUUCGGGUUGUAAAGCCCUUUUGUUGGGAAAGAAAAGCAGCAGGUUAAUACCCCGCUGUUCUGACGGUACCCAAAGAAUAAGCACCGGCUAACUUCGUG